rnacentral:rRNA from 1 species
UUAUCAUGCACGGCAGUCUUGAAUGCAGCCCUGCCGCGUGACUGAUGAGGCUCUUCGGGUCUGUAAAGUUCUGUUGUCAGGGAAGAACAAGUGCCGCAUGCUAUGGCUGCACCCUGACCGUACCUUGCCAAAAAGCCCCCGCUAACUACCUGCCCACAGCCCCCGUAAUAACGGGCCCCU